rnacentral:sRNA from 1 species
GGUUCAUUUUAAGAGGAGGUAGGAGGCAGGCUGGAGCCUGUGUCUCCUACGGAUCCCUUCUGAGGCUGCUGGUGUCCUUGUUUUGGGUGGGUGUCACAGGUGCCCGGCCUGUGCCCUGAUGAUUUCCUGACACCACCCCUUGCAGCAGGAAGUUGAGGAUGAUUAUUUCAGAAACUGGAAUCCCAACAAGCCCUUUGACCAAGCCCUGGACCCAUCCAAGGACCCCUGCCUGAAGGUAAAAUGCAGCCCUCACAAAGUGUGUGUGACCCAGGACUACCAGACCGCCCUGUGUGUCAGCCGCAAGCACCUGCUCCCCAGGCAAAAGAAGGGGAACAUGGCCCACAAACACUGGGUUGGACCUUCGAAUUUGGUCAAGUGCAAGCCCUGUCCCGUGGCACAGUCAGCCAUGGUCUGCGGCUCAGAUGGCCACUCCUACACAUCCAAGUGCAAAUUGGAGUUCCAUGCUUGUUCUACUGGCAAAAGCCUCACCACCCUCUGUGAUGGGCCCUGUCCCUGUCUCCCAGAGCCUGAGCCACCAAAGCACAAGGCAGAAAGGAGUGCCUGCACAGACAAGGAGUUGCGGAACCUUGCCUCCCGGCUGAAGGAUUGGUUUGGAGCUCUCCACGAGGAUGCGAACAGAGUCAUC